rnacentral:rRNA from 1 species
AUUGAACGCUGGCGGCAGGCCUAACACAUGCAAGUCGAGCGAGCGGCGGACGGGUGAGUAAUGUCUGGGAAACUGCCUGAUGGAGGGGGAUAACUACUGGAAACGGUAGCUAAUACCGCAUACCAUCAGAUGUGCCCAGAUGGGAUUAGCUAGUCGGUGGGGUAACGGCUCACCUAGGCGACGAUCCCUAGCUGGUCUGAGAGGAUGACCAGCAACACGGGACCUGAGACACGGUCCAGAUUCCUACGGGAGGAAGCAGUGGGGAAUAUUGCACAAGGGGCGCAAGCCUGAGGCAGCAAGGCCGCGUGUAUGAAGAAGGCCUUCGGGUGGUAAAGUACUUUCAGCGGGGAGGCGUUACCCGCAGAAGAAGCACCGGCUAACUCCGUGCCAGCCGCCGCGGUAAUAC